ACUUUCGGAUCACCCAAACGGGGAAUUCAUAUCACCGAAAAUGAAAAAGGAAUUCAGGGUGGAAGCCUACCCGAGUUUCAUUCCCUUCAUAGAUAGAAAAAAAUUGACUUCGCACCCAUAUAUUUUUGCCCCUGUCUGCUACUCGGGGCAUUGGUGGUUAUGGCUGAUAAAUACAAGAAAGCGGAAAUGUCAAAUACUUGACCCGCUACACAAAAAAGCUCCCACCGAUGAGAGAAAGGCCAUUAAUAAAUUCACUGGAUACGUAUUUUCAAGAUUGAUAACAUAUGCCGGCGGGGAACCUCUUUAGAAAGGGGAGAGGGAGAAGGAAAUUAAAUCACCAUAUGUUAAAAUAUCUGGCCAAAAAACAAGGUAUAAAUUUGUAACUCUGAACAUUAAACUUUUGUAAAUGAGAUUUGUAAUUUAUUUUCUUUGUUUUCAGCUAUGACUGCGCUGUGUACGUUAUGA